rnacentral:tRNA from 1 species
GAGAGUAUAGCUCAAGUGGUAGAGUGCAUGCUUAGCAUGCAUGAGGUCCUAGGUUCAAUUCCCAAUACCUCCA